rnacentral:rRNA from 1 species
UACAGAGGGUGCGAGCGUUAAUCGGAAUUACUGGGCGUAAAGCGUACGUAGACGGUUGGAUAAGUCGGAUGUGAAAGCCCCGGGCUCAACCUGGGAAUUGCAUUCGAGACUGUUCAGCUAGGGUGCGGAAGAGGGAAGCGGAAUUUCCGGUGUAGCGGUGAAAUGCGUAGAUAUCGGAAGGAACACCAGUGGCGAAAGCGGCUUCCUGGUCCAGCACCGACGUUCAGGUACGAAAGCAUGGGGAGCAAACAGGAUUAGAUACCCUGGUAGUCCAUGCCAUAAACGAUGAGGACUAGACGUUGAGGGGGUAAGCCUCCCAGUGUCGUAGCUAACGCGCUAAGUCCUCCGCCUGGGGAGUACGGCCGCAAGGUUGAAACUCAAAG